rnacentral:rRNA from 1 species
GGCAAUAUACAGUCGGCGGCCAAGCGAAAGCAUUAAGUAUUCCACCUGGGGAGUACGCCGGCAACGUGAAACUCAAAGGAAUUGACGGGGGCCCGCACAAGCGGAGGAACAUGUGGUUUAAUUCGAUGAUACGCGAGGAACCUUACCCGGGCUUGAACUGCACCCGACGGACGGAGAGAUCCGUCUUCCGCAAGGCGGGUGUGGAGGUGCUGCAUGGUUGUCGUCAGCUCGUGCCGUGAGGUGUCGGCUUAAGUGCCAUAACGAGCGCAACCCUUCUCUUCAGUUGCCAUCAGGUCGAGCUGGGCACUCUGGAGACACUGCCAUCGUAAGAUGCGAGGAAGGUGGGGAUGACGUCAAAUCAGCACGGCCCUUACGUCCGGGGCUACACACGUGUUACAAUGGGAGGUACAGAAGGCCGCGACCCGGCGACGGGAAGCCAAUCCCCAAAUCCUCUCUCAGUUCGGACUGGAGUCUGCAACCCGACUCCACGAAGCUGGAUUCGCUAGUAAU